rnacentral:misc_RNA from 1 species
GCGGAAGGAUCAUUACCGAGUGAGGGCCCUCUGGGUCCAACCUCCCACCCGUGUUUAAUUUACCUUGUUGCUUCGGCGGGCCCGCCUUAACUGGCCGCCGGGGGGCUUACGCCCCCGGGCCCGCGCCCGCCGAAGACACCCUCGAACUCUGUCUGAAGAUUGUAGUCUGAGUGAAAAUAUAAAUUAUUUAAAACUUUCAACAACGGAUCUCUUGGUUCCGGCA